UCCUAGUGGUAGAGACGGCUUAUAUUUUUUCAUCCAUAUAAGCGCUCUAACCACUAGAAGA
rnacentral:pre_miRNA from 1 species